AGACUUGAUGCACCUGGGAAAUACAAUUUAAACUUCCUCCUUUACGUUCAGUCCUGCCGCCACAUUGAUCCAUUUUGGGCGGAUGCUUAACUAGAGAAAGCUUACAGACUUGAUGCAAUAGAAACAGAAAUCUCAUGUGCAAGUAGGAUCGCUGAGUUGUGGCCGCCAAAACCGAAGGAGUUUGACAGUGCUACCUUCACAUCCAACCUCUCCUUCCUUGAACUGACUAGCCGAUCCACAUCCUGUAUCAAAUCACAGUGAGAAAGAUUACCAAAACUGUGAAUCUUGAGUAAGUUCAUUCUUGUUUUUUAACAGUAUAAUUAGGGAGAUUGGUGGAUUUGCUAAUUUGUGAUAUCUAUUAAAAUAUGCUUAACCGUAAAGCUUUUUACCAUAACUACCUCACAGAAAGGUAAUCUACUUCUCAGGUAAUUUCCCUUUUUCACUUGCAAUCUGUUUUUGAAAAUUCCAGUGACACAGUGAGAUCCUUAUUCUCCCUUUUCGUAUCGAAUAGA